AGAGCGAACGCUGGCGGCAGGCCUAAUACAUGCAAGUCGAACGGAUCCUUCGGGAUUAGUGGCGGACGGGUGAGUAACACGUGGGAACGUGCCCUUUGGUUCAGAACAACUCAGGGAAACUUGAGCUAAUACUGGAUAAGCCCUUCGGGGGAAAGAUUUAUCGCCAUUGGAGCGGCCCGCGUCUGAUUAGCUAGUUGGUAGGGUAAAGGCCUACCAAGGCUACGAUCAGUAGCUGGUCUGAGAGGAUGAUCAGCCACACUGGGACUGAGACACGGCCCAGACUCCUACGGGAGGCAGCAGUAGGGAAUCUUGCGCAAUGGGCGAAAGCCUGACGCAGCCAUGCCGCGUGAAUGAUGAAGGUCUUAGAUUGUAAAAUUCUUUCAGCGGGACGAUAAUGACGGUACCCGCAGAAGAAGCCCCGGCUAACUUCGCGCCAGCAGCCGC
rnacentral:rRNA from 1 species